UACCACCAUGAAGGGAUAUAAAAGUUUUAAAAACUUAUGGCGCACCAGUCCUGCAGUUUAAAGUCAUUUUUAACGAGAUGGGUUGUUUUGUUGUUGCUGAUGACUCAAGCAGGCAGGGAAAAAUGGUGUUGAGAUGACUUAAUAAAAAAAAAAAAAUCAAAUGAGAACUUACAACAGAGACACAGAGGGUGGGAGGGGCAUGACAAGAUAAACACAGAACAUCAAUAAGGACUGACUGAAGAUCUAGGAUUACAAAGCAAUGGUUACUGGGUCAAGACACAGGAGAGGCUUAAUUAUUAGAAUGAGUCAUUUUUGAUUGAGAAAAACCAUGAAAGGUCAUGGUCUGGAAACUAAAAAACAUCCUGCAAAGGGACACUCAGAAAGCCAUCAACAACAUCGGUUCCCUUUCUUUCUGUCAGACUCUCCAAGGGUGACAUCUGGCCGAGGCUUGCAGUCGGCAUGCGAAGGGUUACAGCUGCAAUCGUUUUCUCUGGCUUGGCCUGAGCCCAGAGGCUUAAUAAAGGGAAUUAAUGGAGUGCACUAUCUGUCAGAUUCCUAAACACAGCUGGAGCGGAUGUUCAUCGCCCCCAAGCAGCCCGAAGAACUUACUAUCCUACUUGAACAACAUAAGCCCCUUCUUUCUUCCCCCAUAUUGUCCCCUGGGUGCUGACUCCGCAAAAGAACCCCAGCUGAUUGUGAAAGCUGUUUAUGUAUCAUCACUGACUAUAAUUACACAAUGUGGGAUAACAAACAGAGAGAGUGGAAGGGGGAAAGGGGGGGCAACUGUUAUGAGCGUAUCAAAAUACAGUGAACUUUUUGGUCAUGCAUGGUAACAGCUGCGGUAAUGAUGUGCAAGCGGUACAAAUAAUCAAUGUAAAUGUGGUGAACUAAUAAUACGUGCCGCACACUCAUGAGCACGUGGCCAGUGAGUCCUGCGGCAUUUAACACGAAUGGACCCAGUCUAAGACAAUACUGCAGAGAACCCACACAGGCAGGCCAUCCACUCAAGGUUCCAUAUGUUUUAGACAUGUUUAAAUAACUAGAAAGUAUGCUAAAUGCUUGACUUUAAAGUCGGGUAACUUGAGAAGCCUAAUGUAAAAGGUUAUAUGUUCUACCGAACUGCUUUUCAUAACAAAGUAAAGCUUUUAAGCCUA